CACGCGAGGUCGAAGGCAUAGGGUAUGUGGGGGACCCUAGCUAGAUGCUUUGUCUGACUGCCCCUAAGCACGGCCCUUCGUGAUGUACACACCUGUUCAACUUUCUCUUUCUGAAUGCCCUUGUCCCUUUCCGCUCCUCUUAUUUCUCCAUCCCGAAUAUUAUCAGAUCUACUUUGUUGCCAUGAAAAGUGCUAUCGAUAAGACGUAUCUUUCGCCUGUUCUAUAAGGCUGCUCUUUUUGAAGUUACAGAAUUAAAAAAAAAAAACCCACACACAAACUGCUGCAUAACUACUUAAAGGGAAGCAAGUCCUACGUGAGAUGUUCGCAUUCUGAGUUGUCUCCCAUGGUAGCGAUGUGUGCGAAGUUUUAAAAGAUGUAUUAGAAACUGGCUGUUUAACAAAGAAGCGAGCGUUUACCACAACUUCACUGGCUUUAUACACUACACCUGUUCACAGAAGCAAUAAGCACAUUUUAUUCGACUGUAGCAAACGAUUUAAUGGUAUUUUGUGUGUGUUGAGUUAAAAGACUUGGAAACCACAGCGCUGUCUGCUCGACUUCUUGGAACUUAAUGACAACUGGACACCAGUGAGUACAACAACUGUACAGCGCUUUGUAUUAUUAGCAGCUUGACAACUAAUCAUCUCACCGGCAUGUCCGACAACAAAGAUGAGUUUAAGUGAUUGGGGUUAUGUUGCCAUUGCCAUUAGAGCGGCCUCGAUUCCAGAAGUCGUGAAAGAUAUAGCUUGGCAUAAUUUUUCGACAUAUUUUAUGUCUCUCUUUACCCAAUGAGCCAUGUGUCAGACCGAGAGAAUCAUUUCUGGUAAUAUGACUUAAAGAAUAAAACUUGUAGUACCCCGCACCAUAGAAAAAAAAUCCACAGAGUUAAACGAGAGAAAAAUUUCACUGACAAAGUUCUCUGCCCCUUUCUUAGCCUCGGGCCAGACCUUUCUGUACCCUAUUCUCGUCAGGAUAUCAUAUAUAAAUAUACUGUGUUGUGGGAGAGAGAAAUUAUUUCAACACGUAUACGUAUAUAUCUAUCUAUAUAUUGUUAGUAUGAGCUCUGUCUGGAAUUCCCCUUGUUAGCAGCACUCAACUGUAUGCCAAACUACAAAAUGCUCCACUCCCCUGUGCACAAUGGACCCUACCCAAGCCUCUCUCUCUUCUGUUCAAUGCACCCAACCGACCUAUGACCUACUGCCGUUACUUCUACGUUCUGACCAACGACUGACAUGAUUUGAAAGCAAAUGGUCUCUAACAGUUCCUAGCCUCUUGCUUCACUGUAUCGUAGGGACGACUGUAAACCAACUUGUGUCUCAGCUGUGAAACUCUCCGCCGAACAUUCAGCGGACUGUCCGUGUAGCCUGGAGAAUAACACAUGGUGUGUUCGCAGAAGUGGUCGAGCGUGACAUGGCCGCCCCUGCCUGAGGAGAAGCCGCCUCGAUUAUCCGGUUUUUGGUAAAUAACCUUGGGCUGAGUCUCAGAAGAUUAAGGAGCUGAGGACGUGUGCAGUUUCACUCAGACAGUUCUUUAACAAUUCAACAAGAAAAAAUGAAUGUAAUGUUAGAAGAGGAAGCUAUGUCUGCCAUAAACAAUCCAGUCCAGGUCUCAUGUAUACACAGCAUAAAGACUGAACCGAGGUCUAUAGCUGAUCUACAAGACCUAAAUGAUAAGGUAAUGCUUAAGACAGAAACCACAUUUUGUUCUGAUACAAAUAUGACAUAUUGCUCAUCAACAAGCUGUGUACAGCUUAAAAACAUUUCUUGUCCAACUUGUAUAAAACCUGAGCUUGCUAAGAAUAUUCCUCAAUCAAACUGGAAACUUGAGGAUGCUGUAAUACUGGAGCUAAACUUUCAAGAUACCAUUGGUUGUAUUAAAACUGAGCAAGUUCCUGGUGAAGAACUUUGUCCCAUAAAAGCCGAGUAUACUGCACACAUUGAGCAGUCAGACUGCAGUCAUGAGAAUGCUGUGAAAGUGGAGUGCCACUGUCAAGAUGUCACCUGUUCAAUUAAGACUGAACAGGAUUUUGUGCAGUGUGCAAAGACAGAAGAGCAGCUUGUAUCUAAGCAAGAAGAACAAGAUCAUACUCACAUGGUGAAGACUGAGACAGGUUGGCCUGGUCAGCAUGCAAUGUGGCAGAAGAACAUUGAUGGGAAUUGUCAAGAAUUGAGCUUUGCUAUAUGCAGAACUCCUGAUGUGACAGAUAUUAUGAGAGAAAAUCAACAACAUCAGACACAUGCGACUGUUACUAAAGUCAGCAUUGAUUCCGCAACAGGAACCAGAAGUAUUGCCGAGUCUUAUCAGUGCAAAGUGUGUUUAUGUUGUUUCAGUUUUUCAACGCUGCUCAUGAAGCAUAUGAAAAUGCACUCUGAUUUUGAAGCUUACAAUUGUACUCCAUGUAGCGUUGUGUUAGAAAGAAUAGAUACUUUAAAACAGCACAAGGAAGCUAACAGUAAUAAGAGAUCUGACCAUUGUGAUGAGAGAUAUCACCAGUGUACUGUAUGUCAUGUAGCUUUCAAAAGAUUAGGUCCUCUAAAACAGCACAUGGUGACUCACAGUAAUUUGAAACCUUACCAGUGUACUUUAUGUCAUGUAGCUUUCAAAAGAUUAGGUAACCUAAAACGGCACAUGGUGACCCACAGUGAUGAGAAACCUCACCAGUGUUCUGUGUGUCAUGUAGCCUUCAAAACACCUCUUGGUCUAAAACGGCAUAAUGUGAUUCACAGUAACGUGAGACCUUUCAAGUGCAGUGUAUGUAGGAAAAUGUUCAAGCGGCCUUAUGAGGUAAAGAAACAUAUGGUGACCCACAGUGAUGAGAGACCCUACCAGUGUUCUGUCUGUCGUUUAGCCUUCAAAACACCUCUAUGCCUGAAACAGCACAAAGUGACUCACAGUGAUAAGAGACCUUACCAUUGUUCGGUCUGUGUUUUAGCCUUCAAAACACCUGCUGGCCUAAAACAGCACAAAGUGACUCACAGUAAGGUGAGACCUCACCAGUGAAGUAUAUGUAAUAAUGCUUGUAAGUGGAUAAGUGAUUUAAAAGAACACAUAGUGACCCACAGUGAUGAGAGACCUUACCAGUGUUCGGUCUGUCAUGUAGCCUUAAAAACACGUGCUGGCCUAAAAUACCACAAAGUGGCUCACAGUAAAGUGAGACCUCACCAGUGAAGUAUAU
rnacentral:misc_RNA from 1 species